UACGGAAGGCAGCAGUGGGGAAUAUUGCACAAUGGGCGCAAGCCUGAUGCAGCCAUGCCGCGUGUAUGAAAAAGGCCUUCGGGUUGUAAAGUACUUUCAGUCGUGAGGAAGGUGUUAAGGUUAAUAACCUUAGCAAUUGACGUUAGCGACAGAAGAAGCACCGGCUAACUCCGUGCCAGCAGCCGCGGUAAUACGGAGGGUGCGAGCGUUAAUCGGAAUUACUGGGCGUAAAGGGCACGCAGGCGGUUAAUUAAGUUGGAUGUGAAAUCCCCGGGCUUAACCUGGGAAUGGCAUUCAAGACUGGUUAGCUAGAGUCUUGUAGAGGGGGUGAAUUCCAUGUGUAGCGGUGAAAUGCGUAGAGAUGUGGAGGAAUACCGGUGGCGAAGGCGGCCCCUGGACAAAGGCUGACGCUCAUGUGCGAAAGCGUGGGGAGCAAAC
rnacentral:rRNA from 1 species